rnacentral:rRNA from 1 species
AUUGAACGCUGGCGGCAGGCCUAACACAUGCAAGUCGAGCGGAUGAAGGGAGCUUGCUCCUGGAUUCAGCGGCGGACGGGUGAGUAAUGCCUAGGAAUCUGCCUGGUAGUGGGGGAUAACGUCCGGAAACGGGCGCUAAUACCGCAUACGUCCUGAGGGAGAAAGUGGGGGAUCUUCGGACCUCACGCUAUCAGAUGAGCCUAGGUCGGAUUAGCUAGUUGGUGGGGUAAAGGCCUACCAAGGCGACGAUCCGUAACUGGUCUGAGAGGAUGAUCAGUCACACUGGAACUGAGACACGGUCCAGACUCCUACGGGGAGCAGCAGUGGGGAAUAUUGGACGAUGGGCGAAAGCCUGAUCCAGCCAUGCCGCGUGUGUGAAGAAGGUCUUCGGAUUGUAAAGCACUUUAAGUUGGGAGGAAGGGCAGUAAGUUAAUACCUUGCUGUUUUGACGUUACCAACAGAAUAAGCACCGGCUAACUUCGUG